rnacentral:rRNA from 1 species
UGAGGAAUAUUGGUCAAUGGGCGAGAGCCUGAACCAGCCAAGUAGCGUGCAGGAUGACGGCCCUAUGGGUUGUAAACUGCUUUUAUAUGGGAAUAAAGUGAGGGACGUGUCCCUUAUUGCAUGUACCAUACGAAUAAGGACCGGCUAAUUCCGUGCCAGCAGCCGCGGUAAUACGGAAGGUCCAGGCGUUAUCCGGAUUUAUUGGGUUUAAAGGGAGCGUAGGCUGUUUGUUAAGCGUGUUGUGAAAUGUAGGAGCUCAACUUUUAGAUUGCAGCGCGAACUGGUCGACUUGAGUAUGCAGGAAGUAGGCGGAAUUCAUGGUGUAGCGGUGAAAUGCAUAGAUAUCAUGACGAACUCCGAUUGCGCAGGCAGCUUACUGUAGCAUAACUGACGCUGAUGCUCGAAAGUGCGGGUAUCAAACAGG